rnacentral:tRNA from 1 species
GCGAGGGUAGUUUAGCCUGGUUAGAAUCUCUGGCUGUGGCCCGGAGGACCUGGGUUCAAAUCCCAGCCCUCGCC